GGUAGGGUUCCCGAGCGGUCAAAGGGGGUAGACUGUAAAUCUACUGGCGUAGCCUUCGGAGGUUCGAAUCCUCCCCCUACCACCA
rnacentral:tRNA from 1 species